rnacentral:rRNA from 1 species
CACUGCAAAACUAGCCCACCAUCCAAAACCAACUUUUACAUAUUUAUAAACCCCUAUUCACAUAAAUUUAGAUAACAAACCAUUUUUCCACCCUAGUACGGGAGACAGAAAAGGAAUAAGGAGCAACAGAACUAGUACCGCAAGGGAAAAGUGAAAGAGAAAUGAAACAAAUCAAUUAAGUACAGAAAAGCAGAGGUUUACCCUCGUACCUUUUGCAUCAUGUUUUAGCAAGUAACCAUUAAGCAAAGAGCCCUUUAGUUUGACACCCCGAAACUAAGCGAGCUACUCCGAAGCAGCUAAUAAAUGAGCCAACCCAUAUCUGUGGCAAAAGAUUGGGAAGACUUCUGAGUAGAGGUGAUAAGCCAACCGAGCCUAGUGAUAGCUGGUUGCCUGGGAAAUGAGUAGAAGCUCAGCCUGAUUAUUCCCCCAUUCCUGACUCUCUUAACAAGAUAAAUGUGAGUAAUUAGAGCUAAUCAAACAAGGUACAGCUUGUUUGAUAUAAGAAACAACUUUCUUUAGGAGGUUAAAGACCAAAAUUUUGAAGACCUGAGUGUUUUAGUGGGCUUAAAAGCAGCCAUCUAAGUAGAAAGCGUUAAAGCUCAAGCACUUAAUGAUCACAUAUACCGCCAAAAACUCUUCAUCCCCUUAACCUACCAGGCUUUCCUAAACCCUUAGGAGUGAUAAUGCUAAUAUGAGUAAUAAGAGAGACGCCUCUCUCCCUGCCCAAGUGUACCUCGGAACGAACCCCCACCGAAAAUUAACGGCCCCAAAUCAAAGAGGGUAUUGCAUAACAAUCAUAACACAAGAAAAACAAACACCAACCCACCGUUAACCCCACACUGGAGCGCUAAUAGGGAAAGACUAAAAGGAAAAGAAGGAACUCGGCAACCCCAAGCCUCGCCUGUUUACCAAAAACACCGCCUCUUGCACCCUGCGUAUAAGAGGUCCCGCCUGCCCUGUGACUAUGUGUUCAACGGCCGCGGUAUUUUGACCGUGCAAAGGUAGCGCAAUCACUUGUCUUUUAAAUAAAGACCUGUAUGAAUGGCAUAACGAGGGCUUAACUGUCUCCUUUACCCGGUCAAUGAAAUUGAUCUCCCCGUGCAGAAGCGGGGAUAUUAAUAUAAGACGAGAAGACCCUGUGGAGCUUCAGACAAUAGGGGGAUUUUAUGUAGUAAACCUAAGCAGGGCACAAACAAGUUCACACUCCUCCCAAUGUCUUCGGUUGGGGCGACCACGGAGUAAAAAGUAACCUCCACGAGGAUUAAGGAAUUGACCUUAAAACCUAGAACGACAGUUCAAAGAAGCAAAAUUUUUGACCUAAGGAUCCGGCACAGCCGAUCAACGAACCGAGUUACCCCAGGGAUAACAGCGCAAUCCCCUUCAAGAGUCCCUAUCGACAAGGGGGUUUACGACCUCGAUGUUGGAUCAGGGUAUCCUAAUGGUGUAGCCGCUAUUAAGGGUUCGUUUGUUCAACGAUUAAAACCCUACGUGAUCUGAGUUCAGACCGGAGUAAUCCAGGUCAGUUUCUAUCUAUAGUGCCCUCUUUUCUAGUACGAAAGGACCGAGAAGAGAGGGCCUAUGCCUAAGACAAGCCCUCCCCCCACCCAUUGAAGUAUCUUAAAUGGACAAAGGGGCUCAAAACACACCAGUAAAUAACUGCAU